UACGUAGGGGGCUAGCGUUGUCCGGAUUUAUUGGGCGUAAAGAGCGUGUAGGCGGCCAGGUAAGUCCGUUCUGAAAGCCCGGGGCUCAACCCCGGGAGGCGGAUGGAUACUGCUUGGCUCGAGUCCGGAAGAGGCGAGUGGAAUUCCCGGUGUAGCGGUGAAAUGCGCAGAUAUCGGGGAAGGAACACCAAUGGCGAAGGCAGCUCGCUGGGACGGUACUGACGCUGAGACGCGAAAGCGUGGGAGCAAACAGGG
rnacentral:rRNA from 1 species